GCCGCCAUAGCUCAGUAGGUUAGAGCGUGGGUCUAAUAAGGCCAAGGUCAUGGGUUCGAAACUUGCUGGCGACG